AACUGACUGUGUAGCCUGCCUUUCCUCCUGUGGGAAGCUCUCUUGAGAGCACUUCAGGAUGCAAGACAUCGGGCAACCAAGCAGCUGUGCUUCACAGUUGGACCACACCAAGCUUCUGCCUAUGCAGCCAAUGUUAUAAUCAGGAAAAGCAUUACAGGGAGGGGACAGCAAAUUUCCCGUGAAAAGGAGAUGGCUGGGUUGCUGACACAGGCUACAUCAUUGCAGAACCCUGAGAGCAGGGAAGAUGCAGACAGAAA
rnacentral:lncRNA from 1 species